rnacentral:miRNA from 1 species
GCAGAGCUCUGCUGGUGAGCGAA